CUAACAAGGAUUCCCCCAGUAACGGCGAGUGAAGCGGGAAGAGCUCAAAUUUGAAAUCUCCGAUGCCUGCAUCGCGAGUUGUAGUUGCGAGAAGCACUUUCUAGGCGGAGGGGCCCUGCCUAAGUUGCUUGGAACGGCACGUCGCAGAGGGUGACAACCCCGUCUGUGGCAGGGCCGGCCGCCCACGAUGUGCUUUCGAAGAGUCGGGUUGUUUGGGAAUGCAGCCCAAAAUGGGUGGUAAACUCCAUCUAAAGCUAAAUACCGGCGUGAGACCGAUAGCGAAGGAAACGUAAUGGACUCAGCAAUGCUCCCUUCGAGAUUCAGCCGUCGGCCUGCGCGCGGCUCGGGGUUUGCGGAUCCGAACGGACCGCGGUCCCGGGCGCGUGCCUCGCCGCCGUCGCACUUCUCUUGGGCGCGCGUCAGCGUGGGUCGGAACUGGGCGUCGGAGGUGCCGUGGAAGGUAGGUCUGGAGUCUCGGCUCCGGACUGUUACAGCCCGGCUCCCGCGGCUCGGGUCCGACCGAGGACAGUCGCAGCGCGUGCCUCUUGUGGCUAGGGUCCCGUCCUUCCGGCCGGUCGUCGACCGUGGUGGACUGCUUGCAGUCGUCCGCGACUGCUGCCGGUCGUUGGGGCGGUGUUCU
rnacentral:rRNA from 1 species